rnacentral:rRNA from 1 species
GACGAACGCUGGCGGCGUGCUUAACACAUGCAAGUCGAACGGAGCACCCUUGAAGGAGUUUUCGGACAACGGAGAGGAAUGCUUAGUGGCGGACUGGUGAGUAACGCGUGAGGAACCUGCCUUUCGGAGGGGGACAACAGUUGGAAACGACUGCUAAUACCGCAUGAUACAUUUGGGCCGCAUGGUCUGAAUGUCAAAGAUUUAUCGCCGAAAGAUGGCCUCGCGUCUGAUUAGCUAGUUGGUGGGGUAACGGCCCACCAAGGCGACGAUCAGUAGCCGGACUGAGAGGUUGGCCGGCCACAUUGGGACUGAGAUACGGCCCAG